rnacentral:rRNA from 1 species
UACGUAGGGUGCAAGCGUUGUCCGGAAUUAUUGGGCGUAAAGAGCUCGUAGGCGGUCUGUCGCGUCGGCUGUGAAAUCUCGGGGCUCAACCCCGAGCCUGCAGUCGAUACGGGCAGACUAGAGUGCUGUAGGGGAGACUGGAAUUCCUGGUGUAGCGGUGAAAUGCGCAGAUAUCAGGAGGAACACCGGUGGCGAAGGCGGGUCUCUGGGCAGUAACUGACGUGGAGGAAGCGAAAGCGUGGGGAGCGAACAGG